GCCCUAUCACCUACUCCUACGUAGGCGCGGGGGGCUUGGGUCCUGUACCAAGGCUGCUGCGUGACACCCCCGGCCAUGCAGAGCGUCAUGAUCGUGCAAGAGCACUUCGAGGCUCGUCCCGACGUCACCUUCCCCAAGUGCGGCACCACCUGGCUCAAGGCCCUCGCCUUCACAGUGACGAACCGUUUCCGCCACGCCGUCGCCGGCGACGGCCACCCGCUGCUCAUCCGCCACCCUCAGGACCUUGUGCCCUUUCUCGAGGCGCCCUACCGCCAGCUCCACCCUCUCGCGGAUCUCGAGGAGCUCGCCUCCCCGAGGCUCCUAUCCACCCACAUGCCGCUCACGCUGCUGCCUCCGUGCAUGUCCAGCCUCGGUUGCCGGGUCGUGUACCUAUGCCACGAUCCCAAGGAUGUGUUCGUGUCAUUAUGGCAGUUCAUCAGCAAGGUAAAUGCGGACUACGCCAUGGACAAAGCAUUUGAGUUGUUUUCCGAUGGUGUGUGCCCAUAUGGGCCUAUCUGGGAACACAACCUUGGGUUCUGGAAGAAAAGCAUAGCAAAGAGCGACAAAGUUCUUUUCUUGAAGUAUGACGAGAUGAUGGCCGAACCUGUCAAGCAUGUUCAGAUGCUCGCCAAGUUCCUCCGUGUCCCCUUCACUGAGGAGGAGGUGAGCCACGGAGUCGUGGAGGAUGUCGUGCACCCGUGUAGCUUCGAUAAGCUCAGGAGCGUACCGGUGAACUCAUCGGGAGUCACUGAUAGGAUUGGUGGGGUGCCAAUGAAGAACUCUUCGUACUUUAGGACCGGAAAGGUUGGCGACUGGGAAAACCACUUGACGGAAGAGAUGGCAAAGAAGCUAGAUGCCAUUGUUGAGGAGAAGCUGAUAGGAUCAGGUCUCACGUUUUGGCAUACCGGUGUCAUGCUUAACUACGCGUGUGUUCGUGCAACCAAAAUAUGUGUGAAAGGCUAUGUACUUUGA
rnacentral:rRNA from 1 species